CCUACGGGGGGCAGCAGUGAGGAAUAUUGGUCAAUGGGCGCGAGCCUGAACCAGCCAAGUAGCGUGAAGGAUGACUGCCCUACGGGUUGUAAACUUCUUUUAUAAAGGAGUAAAGUGAGGCACGUGUGCCUUUUUGUAUGUACUUUAUGAAUAAGGAUCGGCUAAAUCCGUGCCAGCAGCCGCGGUAAUACGGAGGAACCGAGCGUUAACCGGAUUUAUUGGGUUUAAAGGGGGCGUAGGUGGGGUGUUAAGUCAGUUGUGAAAGGUUGCGGCUCAACCGUAAAAUUGCAAUUGAUACUGGCAGUCUUGAGUACAGGUGAGGGAGGCGGAAUUCGUGGUGUAGCGGUGAAAUGCUUAGAUAUCACGAAGAACUCCGAUUGCGAAGGCAGCUUACUAAACUGCCACUGACAUUGAGGCUCGAAAGUGUGGGUAUCAAACAGGAUUAGAUACCCUUGUAGUC
rnacentral:rRNA from 1 species